UUUUUUUUUUUUUAAGUCCGAGUGAUUAAACAGGUAGUUUCCUUUGUAUUGGCCUCAUAUUGAUGCAUUAAUAUUUGAUUGGAUAGGGUCUUAGUUUCUGUCUUGGUUUGUGGUUUAGCUGUAAACUGACACAAGGUCUUAUGGUUAGUCUUCUUAGGGGCAGGAACUAGAGCUGGGUACCUGGAGUGGAUUUGCAAAUGUUGAGUGCUUUUGAGCCAUAAGCCCUGAACUGAAAUUUUUUUUUUCUUUUUUUCUUUUUAGGCCUCACCCGUGACAUAUGGAGGUUCCCAGGCUAGGGGUCAAAUCAGAGCUAUAGCUGCCAGCCUACACCAUAGCUCACAGAAGCACCAGAUCCCUGACCCACUGAAUGAAGCCAGGGAUUGAACCCGCAUUCUCAUGGAUACUAUUUGGAUUCGUUACCACUGCGCCACAAUGGGAACUCGUGAGAAUUUUUCUUAACUUCCUGAUGAUUGGCUUUUGGGUAUUAGGGCAAAGUCUCACAAAGGUGGGAAAGCUUGUACCAGUACCAUGCUAGCUCUAUCUUCUUUUAAACAAUUUAUCAAGCUACCUUUAACUCUGGCCCCUCAGUGCUCUCUUUCCCAUGAGCUUCUUGGAUUGUUGAUAUUAGGUCCACCCAGGGUGAAUUUAAGCUAAAACUGGCAGUAGAUUCCAGGAAGCCUUCUACCUAAUAUCUACUAAUCUCUGUGGGGGUCUUGAUGGCAGAGGGAUGGGAGAAGGUGAUGAGGCAGAAAGAAAUAGUGGCUGAGCCAUUAUCCUGGUGGAUUGGGGAGAUGGCUGAAUUAUCUAGGAGAGGUUAUUAAGAGUCAGAGAAUUCUUAGUCAAUCAAAAUAUAAAAAUCUAAGACUGUAUGUGCUGUAGGCAUGUCUGGGGAGAAGCAUGGAGCCCUGUUUAAGGCUGUAGUGUGAAGCAGGGUAGCUGUUAAGGGCCCCCAUAAACAUUAGUUAGGGAAUAUCAGUCACACCCGAGGAAGGCUCUGCUCCUGUUAUUGAGGAUUGUUGAAGAAAUGAAUCAUAUUCUUGGUGAAAGAAUAGCUGUGUUUAUUCGUUGUGUUUUACACUGUAUUGAAGCCACAGCCCUGGAGAUUUAUGCUACCAGUAACUUUGUUUUAUAGAUAAGGACUCCAAGACUCCAUAAUUGCUUAAUAUCUCCAGCCAGAGUUGAAACUCAGGUCUGUCUGAUUCUGAAACCUGUGUGCUUAACCAUAUGUAUCUUGUUAUAAAAAUAACUGAGUUCCCAAUGUGGCUCAGUGGAAAUGAACCUAACUAGCAUCCAUAAGGCCUUGCUCAGUGGGUUAAGGAUCUGGCAUUGUUGUGAGCUGUGACAUAGGUCACAGGCUAGAUUUGGAUCCUGUGUGGCUGUGGCAUAGGCCAGCAGCCACAGCUCUCACUCGAUCCCUUGCCUUGGAACCUUCGUAUGCCAUGGGUGCAGCCCUAAAAAUACAAAUACAAAUACUACUACUACUAAUAGUAACUGUAUGUGACUAAUUUACAAAGCUGAAAAUUAUAGUUCAGUUUAUGAUGCCGAGAGCAAGCAAAACACUGUAAAAGGCUUUGGCAGGUUAAUUGGGUAGUACUUACUUGGGGAAGAUGACUUUAGGAACAGUUGUAGCAUGAGAGAAUGAUACAUAGCUUUUUCCUUUGCAUAGAUUUAGAGGAUCUUGAGAUGCCUUUGAAUUUGGGUAGUCUGCCCAUAGAGUCUCUGCUCAGCUGCAGCCCUGUGGAUUGGCAGAGCAGGGUUUUUUGAUGAGAAGGCUGGACCUUAGUAUUCAAGGCCAGGAGAUGAUAGUGCCAGUUCUGAAACAUGGCACCCUUCUCUUUUCUCUUGACCAGCUCACAGAAUGGCUUUUAGAAUAGCAUUAUUGUUUUCCAUAUAUCUAAUAUGGACCUGGUCAGGAGAAAGGAACCCUGUCAUUAGGUAACAAAGUCUCAUUAGCUUGAUCCAAAUAAAGGGAAGUGAUUGGGAUUCUGGAGCUACAUCUUCUCCCCAAAGGUCAGGGGUCUUCACACUGUUUUGAGUAUAGGUAGUAAACUCAUUAACUUCAAUUCAUGUUUGCAUUAGUGAUUUCACUUGAUCUUCAAUACAACCCUGUAAGCGAGGCAGGAUAGUAUCAUUUGUCAGAUGGCGAGACUGAGGUUAAGCAACUUGGGCUUUGUCCCUCUCUUGAUCUUUGACCUUAAGCAAGUAAUUUAAACCCAAGCUUUGCUUUCUCCUCUGUAAAAUGAAAAUAACUAUACUUUCUUUGCCUGAGAGUCUUGAGAGAAUGAAAUGCUGUAUGUAAAACACUUAGCACAGUGCUUGGCAAGUAGUAGAUGCUCAGCAGUACGUGGAAUGGAUUGAAGCUAUCUGUCAUCACCAUCACCACUGGCUCACUUUAUUUAAACUGGGGCCAGAGACCCCUGUUGGCUUCUGGGUCUUAGGCUGCUAAAUGAGUGAGGAGCCCUCAGCCCCAUUGCCAGGAGAAGGAAAGACUGAGGAAGCCUGAGUAUAUCAUAUUAUAUAUUAUCCUUCACAUCUCAUCUUUAACCAACUCUGGAUAGGUUGGAUAUUUAUUUGGAGUACCAGACCCACAGUGGAGCCUCGGUGUCAGCUUCCUGGACUGCCUUUGUAAAGCUUUUAAGAUAAGAUCUGCACUGGUCUCGUGGGAGAGGGAUAUUCGGAUUGAUUCUGAAUCUCUUACUCCCCUAAGAACUGUGCCCUUUUCUCUGUAACUUAAGGACUUCACAGCUGUGUUGGUGUUAGGGAGUUUGGUGCUUCUCUUGACAGCUUGUGAAGGGUGGGCAGGCACCUGUGAAUUCUUCACUUGCCUCGUGAGAAUGACUUCACCCCAGGAUGUUGAGGUCCCAGUUAUCUCAUCUGCUACUAUAAAAUUCCUCUGUCUUAGAUACUAGUUUCUUUUAAGAUCAGUCUUUCCUUAACCCCUAGGGAUCUUGAACCCUGCUAAAUGUCGAGUGACUGAAUGGAGUCCUCUAUUUGCUUUUAGCUUGCAUUAUAGUGUUUGGUCUUAUCUCUCUGUUUCUUCCAUGGCAGUAAUAGCACUACUGGAAAAAGCUCUGGAUUGGGAGUUGGAGAUGCAGGUUCUAGUUGGGGCACCAGAAUUUUCUUGGACAAGUUGCUAUACGUUUUUGAGCCUCAGUUUCCCCAUAUGAAGAUAAAAUGGUUCUCUGUUCCUUUUUGGUUUGUGUCUUUUUAGGAGUAGACCUCUUUCCCCCCCCCCCAAAUAAAAUCUUGCCUAGAGCCCUAUUAUAGAGACAGAACACAGUUUGUUUUGUUCUGGAACAGAGUUGCUGUGAUUGAAGCAAGUCCAGCAGUUUUGCUGCCCCCCACUGAUUCCUUGUCCCAAACAUAGAUGUGCAUUUUGUACUUGUCUGGGGGCCUCUAGGACUCUGUCAAGAGACUUUGGACAUUGCUGGUGCAGGAUCAUCUCUACAACGCUAAGAAUUUUUUUGCUGUUGACAGGUAGGUAGUAAAAAUCUGUAAAACCUGUAUGUUAAAUGUGUAAGUAGACCAUGGAGUCUUCAAGAAGAAUUAGAUUUUCACUGAUGUAUUUGAAAGAUUCUAAAGUUUGGCUCAGUCUGUAGUGUUUUGUAUAUUGUAGUGUCCAGUAAAGACUGACUUAAUUUUUGCUUGCAGGAUAAAUAUAGUUUUUUAAUAGUGGCAGACACUUUAUUUCCCUAUCUUAUGGACCAGUUCCUUCUGGGAAUACCCGUAGGAUCCAACCAUUAAUAUAAUUCAGUAGUGGAACUAGAUUCCUUUACAGAUUUUUCUCUUGUAGGUAUUUAGGUAUUCUCCAUUACAAUGUAUAUAAUAUAAAUAGAACAUUUGCUAUUGUUAACUUAUGUUUCAGGAGUCAUUCUAGUGCCAGUUCCAUAUAGAACUUUCUAAUUUUAAAGAGGAAGAGUGGAAUAGAAAGAAAAGCAUAUGUACUUUAGAAUAGAGGGAUCUAAGUUUGAAAAAGACUCUGUCAGUAACUAGCUAUGUUUGGGCAAACUAUUACUCUAGUUUUUCAAUCAUGAUUUACACAUUUGUAAAUUGAGCCAAUAAUACUUGCUAACCUUUUGCAGAACUGUUGUAAGGAUUAGGGAUAAUGGGUCUUCCUCCCCCCAGCGAAUGUUAAGUCAGACAAAAGGACAAAGAUUAGUCUGUUAGGGAAUUCUCAUAGAAGAGCAUCCAAUUUUGUUAUAUAUAUUGUUUUAUAUGAAUAUAUAUUAUAUAUUGUUAGUGGGGUCAAAUGGUAGAUCACCCAGUGUGAUUUAUUCUUGCUUAGGCAUUUAUUCACUUCAGGGAACACUUGUUUAUAUAUUACCCAUUUUGCAAGACGUAUUAUAGAGGAAUAAUUAAGAACAUGGACUCUAGAGCCAGCCUGCCUGGGUUUGAAUCUUGGCUCCACCAUUUACCUGCUGAUUUUUUUUUUUUUUUUUUUUUUUUUUUUUAAACUAGGGGACAAAUCCCUGUUGAGUCUUAUAGGAAGAGAAAAGUUAAGCGCACAGGCUGGAGAAAGGGUCUGGUAGCGUAGCACCAGUGAUACAGCUGAAAAUUUAGCAAGUGGCUGGUCUGACCCCAAUAGCGUAUUUCUACUACAUUCUGGUUAUGGACGUCUUUUCUGCCUCAUUCAAGUAUGCUGUUCGUUAAGUUUUUUUUUUUUUUUUAAACAAAUACUAGCAAUCAUAGAUUUUUUUUUUUUUUUAAUUUUCCCACUGUACAGCAAGAGGGUCAGGUUAUCCUUACAUGUAUGCAUUACAAUUACAUUUUUUCCCCCACCCUUUCUUCUGUUGCAACAUGAGUGUCUAGACAUAGUUCUCAAUGCUAGCAAUCAUAGAUUUGAGGAGAGGGGCUUGUACACCUGGAAGACAUCUGGGGUUAUCUUUAGCCCCUCUUUUACAUAUGGAGAAGGGUGAGAGUAUAAGCCUCAUUAAACAAACCACAGCAUGUUUAGUGGCAGAACCAACUGGGUUCUUAUACACACUCCUGGACUUUGUCCCUCUUACACAACAGGGAAUACUCACUUUUUUAUUUUUAUUUUUUAAUUUUCACAAGAUUUUUAUUGUUUUUUGCUGUGCCCAUGGCAUGUGGAAGUUCCUGGGCCAGGAAUUGAACCCGUACCAUGGCAGCAGCCCUGGCUUCUAAGUGACAGCUCUGGAUCCUUAACCCACUGUACCAUAAAGGAACUCUGAUACUCACUUUUAAAAAAGACUGGAUAAGCAGUUCUUGCUGGUGAAGAGUAGCAAAACUUAGCUUUUAAUAAAUUAUAGGAAAAGAAGAAAUAUGCCUACCCUAGGGAGUUAGUUUUUCCUCAGAGGUUGUGGACCAUCAGGUUCUCUGAGUGCUUGGAAGGCUGAAAGGGGAAUAACCAGUGAGGUGGGGCUGUCAGAUAGGAUUUCUCAGAUAAUAGAGUUUUUGAGCCAGGCAGGGCUCACAGGAGAGGGUGUUCCUGAUAGCUAAUGGAAUGCUGUCCUCAAGUGAUGCAACAUGCUGCUUCCAUAACAGUAAUGGGGGCUCAUUCAUAACCAUCUCACAGGAAAUGAAGGCUUAGAGUAGCCGAGAAAGUUGCCCAAGAUGAAGCUUCAAAGUAAUGAAACCAUAGUUCAGCUCCAGAUCUAUCUGAUUUCAAAGCUAAUGUGUUUCCUACAAAAUAUGCUGCCCCCUCCAAGUGUGAAUGAACAUUCUCAGAAGGAUUGAGCUCAAACUGGAGCCACGCUUUCAGAGGACCUCUGUAAAAAGAGAAAGGGCCAGGAGUUGCUGUCAUGGCUCAGCCGAAACGAAUCUGACUAGCCUCCAUCAGCAUGCAGGCUUGAUCCCUGGCCAUGUUCAGUGGGGUAAGGAUCCAGCGUUGCCAUGAGCUGUGCUGUAGGCCAGCUGUUGUGUAGAUCCAAGCAGAUGUGGCUCAGAUCUGGUGUUGCUGUGGCUGUGGUAUAGGCCAGCGGCUACAGCUCUGGUUCGACCCCUAGCCUGAGAACUUCCAUAUGCC
rnacentral:lncRNA from 1 species